rnacentral:rRNA from 1 species
GGUUCUCUCCGAAAUAGCUUUAGGGCUAGCCUCAAGUGAUGAUUAUUGGAGGUAGAGCACUGUUUGGACGAGGGGCCCCUCUCGGGUUACCGAAUUCAGACAAACUCCGAAUGCCAAUUAAUUUAACUUGGGAGUCAGAACAUGGGUGAUAAGGUCCGUGUUCGAAAGGGAAACAGCCCAGACCACCAGCUAAGGUCCCAAAAUAUAUGUUAAGUGGAAAAGGAUGUGGCGUUGCCCAGACAACUAGGAUGUUGGCUUAGAAGCAGCCAUCAUUUAAAGAGUGCGUAAUAGCUCACUAGUCGAGUGACACUGCGCCGAAAAUGUACCGGGGCUAAACAUAUUACCGAAGCUGUGGAUUGUCCUUUGGACAAUGGUAGGAGAGCGUUCUAAGGGCGUUGAAGCAUGAUCGUAAGGACAUGUGGAGCGCUUAGAAGUGAGAAUGCCGGUGUGAGUAGCGAAAGACGGGUGAGAAUCCCGUCCACCGAUUGACUAAGGUUUCCAGAGGAAGGCUCGUCCGCUCUGGGUUAGUCGGGUCCUAAGCUGAGGCCGACAGGCGUAGGCGAUGGAUAACAGGUUGAUAUUCCUGUACCACCUAUAAUCGUUUUAAUCGAUGGGGGGACGCAGUAGGAUAGGCGAAGCGUGCGAUUGGAUUGCA